AGCGAACGCUGGCGGCGUGCUUAACACAUGCAAGUCGAACGUGAAAUGUAGCAAUACAGAGUAAAGUGGCGUACGGGUGAGUAACACGUGGGUAAUCUACCAAAGUGUCUGGAAUAACCGAUCGAAAGGUUGGCUAAUACUGGAUAGUUCAAGCUUGUUAUAAUGGCAAGAUUGGGAAAGGGAGCUGGCAACAGCCUUCGCAUUUUGAUGAGCUCGCGUCUGAUUAGCUAGUUGGUAAGGUAAUGGCUUACCAAGGCUGAGAUCAGUAGCUGGUCUGAGAGGAUGAUCAGCCACACUGGAACUGAAACACGGUCCAGACUCCUACGGGAGGCAGCAGUGGGGAAUCUUGCGCAAUGGACGAAAGUCUGACGCAGCCACGCCGCGUGAGUG
rnacentral:rRNA from 1 species